UUUUUCGACAAUGGGGGAAACCCUGAUCCAGCCAUCCCGCGUGAAUGAUGAAGGCCUUCGGGUUGUAAAGUACUUUUGGCAGAGAAGCAAAGGUAUCUCCUAAUACGAGAUACCGCUUACGGUAUCUGCCGCAUAAGCACCGGCUACCUACGUGCCAGCAGUCGCGGUAAUACGUGGGGUGCAAGCGUUAAUCGGAAUUACUGGGCGUAAAGCGUGUGUAGGCGGUUCGGAAAGAAAGAUGUGAAAUCCCAGGGCUCAACCUUGGAACUGCAUUUUUAACUGCCGAGCUAGAGUAUGUCAGAGGGGGGUAGAAUUCCACGUGUAGCAGUGAAAUGCGUAGAUAUGUGGAGGAAUACCGAUGGCGAAGGCAGCCCCCUGGGAUAAUACUGACGCUCAGACACGAAAGCGUGGGGAGCAAACAG
rnacentral:rRNA from 1 species